UGUAGUAUUGUCUGAUGUCCUUCUAACUGACGUUGAUAAUGUUAGACAUGCUACGCUACAAAAUAGAGCUGCAAUUGAUUUUUUGCUAUUAGCACAAGGACAUGGUUGUGAUGAGUUUGAAGGGAUGUGUUGUAUGAAUCUAUCCGAUCACUCAAAAUCCAUUUACAGUAGUAUUCAACAAUUAAAGAAGGAAGUCAGGAAGUUGACAAAAAGCGAUGAGUCAGCUUGGCUAGCAAAGAUGUUCGAGGGUUGGGGAUUGUCUGGAUGGUUGAUAUCUCUGCUCAAGACUGUGGGGGUAGUGAUCUUGAUUGUGAUAACUGUGCUCCUAAUGUUGCCCUGUCUUCUCAGCCUUCUGCAAAGGGCCCUGCAGAGGGCCGCCGGAGCAAUAUUUUUAGCACAAAUACAAAAAGGGGGAAUCGUCGGGGAAUGUAGCGAAUCUGCCGAAUGCCUGACGGUGCGUGAGCAGCGUGACCUUGAGCAGCUCGUGGUGUAUCCUUGAGAGUCUGGAAAGUCCCGAGCAAGAAAAUGAUAAGAAGAACCGUCUUGACGAAUCUGCAGCAAAACUGUUACCCAAUCAUGAAUUGUUAGUUACUAACUAAACCAAUCAUAUAUGAACACAUACUCUGAAGAAAGUUAUAAAAAAGCUUGUUAGAACAAUAAAGUAGCCAUUUUGGCACAAUCUGAUGUUUGUCAUGUCC